GACGUAGGGCGCGAGCGUUGUCCGGAUUUAUUGGGCGUAAAGAGCUCGUAGGCGGCUUGUCGCGUCGGCUGUGAAAUCCCGUGGCUCAACUGCGGGUCUGCAGCCGAUACGGGCUAGCUAGAGUUCGGUAGGGGAGACUGGAAUUCCUGGUGUAGCGGUGAAAUGCGCAGAUAUCAGGAGGAACACCGGUGGCGAAGGCGGGUCUCUGGGCCGAUACUGACGCUGAGGAGCGAAAGCUAGGGGAGCAAACGGG
rnacentral:rRNA from 1 species